UUCUCCAGCUAUAUCGACCAAGUCAACCAUUUUUUUUCCUUUUUCUUCAGAUCUAGCUGUUGCUACCACCACCUCACUCGAAAAGCUUGUUCCUUUUUACCGUAUUAACUUAUGUAAUUAUCUGAGCAUAUGCCAAAUGGUUUUUCCCUUCAAGAAUUCGACGGUGAUAACCAGUUGAGUUGAUACUAAUUACAUUAUUUGAGUCAAAUACAUCGGUCAACGCCAGCCACUAUGGAAAAUCCACAAAACAUAACCUUGUUCCUCGCCUUCUCUUUUUUUCAACAAAACCCAUUCAUUAAUUCAACAAAACAGAGCCUUGUUUUCCUUGCCUCUCUUUCUUCAACUAGAACAACUUACUCAAAUUUGAGUUCUUCAGUAGACCUCUUCCCCAAUUCUUGAGGAAUUGAAGUAUGCUUCUCUUCUUCAACGCCCAGUUGAGGAUUGGUGGUGUAUAACAAUAAGCAUAAUGUGGCAAAUUCUACAACUCCAUGAAUGUGCGUCUGUUGUUUGCUUUGAUCAAUAAAAGAAGAGAUUGCUUUGAUCAAUAAAAGAAGA
rnacentral:lncRNA from 1 species